GCGGGGGCUCAGCAGUAGAGCAUCUGCCUAGCACAUGCCAGGCCCUGGGUUCGAUCCCCAGCACCACA
rnacentral:tRNA from 1 species